AGUGAACGCUGGCGGCGUGCUUAACACAUGCAAGUCGAACGAUAACGGAUUAUAGCUUGCUAUAAUUGUCAGCUAAGUGGCGCACGGGUGAGUAAUGUAUAGGUAAUAUGCCUCUUACUAAGGGAUAACAAAUGGAAACGUUUGCUAAUACCUUAUACUCCUUAUUAACAUAAGUUAAUAAGGGAAAGAUUUAUUGGUAAGAGAUUAGCCUGUAUUGUAUCAGUUAGUUGGUGGGGUAAUGGCUUACCAAGACUAUGACACAUAACUGGUUUGAGAGGAUGAUCAGUCACACUGGAACUGAGACACGGUCCAGACUCCUACGGGAGGCAGCAGUGGGGAAUAUUGCACAAUGGACGAAAGUCUGAUGCAGCAACGCCGUGUGGAGGAUGACACAUUUCGGUGCGUAAACUCCUUUUAUAUGAGAAGAUAAUGACGGUAUUAUAUGAAUAAGCACCGGCUAACUCCGUGCCAGCAGCCGCCGUAA
rnacentral:rRNA from 1 species